CCAAGCAUGAAACGGCUCAGACGGUGGCUAAGAAGCUACUAGAAGACAUCUUACCCAGAGGGCUCCAGAGGGCGCACGAGGACAUUUGGCCGCGCCUCCGUGCCAUCUACGAGGCUGGCCCAACCCCGACACCUCAUCACUACAGGCCGGGAGACUGGGUCUACGUCAAGAGGCACCACCGAGAGACCCUCGAGCCGCGCUGGAAGGGACCCUACAUCGUGGUGCUGACAACCCCCACCGCUCUCAAAGUAGACGGCAUCGCGACCUGGGUCCAUCAUACCCACGGUCGGCCAGCAGACCCUUCCUCGAUCCGGAAGGACUUCGUCACGCGAUGGGCCGUCAGUCGGGACCAACACAACCUGCUCAAGCUCAAGCUACAGUGCAUUUGACCCACCUAAUAUUGGUAACUCUGUUAACUCUGCUUGUCAUUGUUCAUGCUGCCGGGAGUCCCUACGCCCCCCAAAACAUAUCAUAGACACUAGCUCGGGGACAAUACUUAAUCAGACCUCCCAGAGCCACUCCAGGGACACUUGCUUCCCAGAACUUUGUGUAAACCUCCAAACUCUGUUCCCCUUGUCACCAUAAAUGCAGCCGGUCCCAUGA